AACGGAUACUUAGUAUUUCUAGAAGGCAUUUCCACCCCGAGGACUGCAAGUGUUCUCACGUUCUUUGCGUUCAUCAUGACCUCCAAGUGUCCCACUGGAGCUGUCAUUCCCGUAGUUCCAAAGAGAAUACUCGAGCGCGGAGCGAUUCCAUUGCAUUUCCUUCCAGUAGCCAGGUUUUGACCACUUACUGAAGAGUAGACACCAGCCCCGCGGCAGCGCUCUCUGCUGCAAAAAGCUGUCUACGGAGCAAGACGGAAGGAAACAGUUACAGAAAAUAAAAAUUUGAUAACGACAUGCGACUCGGUUGCUGAGAGGACAGAGAAAGUGACUUAUUUUUGCAUCUCAGGCACUUUGUAGAGGGCCUUUAGCACAAAGAACUCCCGGCUCUUCCAGAUGUUAAACUCCCUGAAUAGAAGGACAGCGUCUUCUUUUUCGUUAUCCAUCAUGUCAGCUCUCCUUUAGCGCCUGCUGGGGUAGGGUGGAGUGGUGGGGGCGGGGCUGGCACCCAACAAGUGCACCAUAAAUAUCUGUUGGCUGGAUACAUGAACAAAUGGAAUUAAAUAAAUUGGCCUAAUUCUGUUACCCAGACUGGCCCCCGUGACUCUAGACUUCUAGCCUGGUAAGUUCCUUGAACACAGACACUGCGUUUUUUAAUCUCUGUAACACCAUUGCCCAUCCCCAGCUCAUUGACAGGCACGGAGUGCCCAAUAUGUGCUUGUGGUCUGAAUGCUGACUGUUUUCGAGGUCAAGCAAUUCCGUCGGUAGCUUGCUAUUUUUCCGAAGUUUACACGCAGGUGGAAUCUUAUUGCUCCUUUGUCUCUGCCCCCAUUUCAUGAGGAGAUCACUCUAGGUAAGUGGGACUUAAGCGAAGCACUUGACAAGAUAUCAUAGACAAGAUGAAGAAAUAUGGGCUGGAUGCUAGUAUCAUUAAUUGGACUAAUAACUGGUUAAGUAACCAUAACCUAAAGAUGCUGAUUGAUGAGUCGACGUUGACCGAAAAGAAGAUUGCAGGGAGUCAGCAUUCCAGCAGCACCUACUACGUACCAGACACUGUGCUAAGUACUUUCCCCUCAUGUUCUCCCUUAAUCUUUAUAACCACACUGUGAGGAAGCUUUUAUUGCCCCAUUUUACAGAUGGGGAAACUGAAACUCAGAAUUUAGCUAGCUGGCCAAAGGUCACACAGUAGGUGGCAGAGCCGUGAUUCAAACUAGACUUUUUCUUUUUAUUUCAAAGCCUCUAUACCACACCAGUUACCCUCAGAAUGACAGAAGCCUCUCUCCCAGGUCCAGACAUCAGAACUUUUAUCAGUGUUCUGAAGGAAAAUCCAGAAGAUUCGCAUCACAUGUCCAGAUGACACAAAGCCAGGAGGGGAAGAGACGCUGUUACACAAACCACAUACAAUAUUGGAGCAGUGGGCUGACUCUAACAGGGGUAAAUGUGGAGUCCCACCCUGUGUGAAGCCAGCCGGAGGCAGAGGUGUCUUAGAUGCUUACAGGAGCAAGAUAAAGGGUCUUAGGUGACAAAUAAUCUGAGUCCACAGUGAAUUGUGGCUGCCAAAAUAAAUAAACGCUCUUAGGCUGCAUCAGUGGAAGUCUGACAUGUAAAGCAAGAUAGGUGUUAUUGUGCUGCCCAGUGUUGGUCAGUACCCACAUGAAGUAUUGUCUGCAAUUAAGACUUGGCAGAAAGAAAUUAUCUACAUGCACAAGUAGAGGGACCAGGAUGUAAAGAGGCUAGAAACUAUGUCAUAUGAGGAAAUAUUAAAGGAAGCAGAAGGUUUUGCCCCAGGGGUACAAGGUAACUGUCUUGAUAUAUGUGAAGAACUGUCAAAUAGAAGAGAAAUUAAACUUAUACUUAAGGGCCUUAAGGGGUUGAAGGAGAACCUGUGGGUAGAAACUCUAGAAUGAAUCAAUAUGAACAAUUUUCUAACAGCUAGAGCAUCCUCUGCCUUGAUUAAUUGAGUUUCUUGUCACAAAAAAUGUCCAAGUGAGAAUUGGAUUACCAUGCAGUGGGAGGCGGGCUGAAAUAGGUGUCUUUGUGGACUCCCUUCCUCUGAGAUUCUCAUCUUGUACCCUGGCUUUCCUCUUUUAAAGGUUAUCACCCUGCCUUAUCCUACCCUCAGUGGCCAAGCAACUGUCUUCCCUCAUGUGCACCUGUUUUUCCCUGUGUAAUUACACCUUUCUUUGUGGUUCUCUCUGUUGGAGAUCCCAAACACCUCCUUCCACUACUACCUAACUUCCCUUUUCUUUUCUACUUUCCAGGAUACUGAACUUUCAAUUCAUAGGGCACUGCUAAGGUCAAAAUAUUGUCCUCAAUGUAAAUUUUACUGGGCAUGAGUAGAAUCAUGUGGAUAAAAGGAAGAUAAGAGAGAGCAUUUAUUUGCACCUACUGUGUACCAGAUGCUUUAAAUACAUUAUUUAAUAUAAUCCUCACGUUAACCCUAGCAGUUGAUAUGCUUGCCCUCCACACUUGCUAGCUGGAUGACUUUUAUCAAAUUGCUUAACCUCUUUGUACCUCAGUUUCCUCAUCUGUAAAAGGGGGAUAAUCUAGUGUCUACUUCAUAGGGCUGUUAUAAGAGUUCAAUGUGAUGAUAGAUGGAAAGCCCUUAACACAGUGCCUGGCAUACAGUCAAGAUGUGAUACAUAUUAGGUAUCACUCUUAACAAUUCUAUGAAAUAGAUAUUUCUUGCUCCUGUUUUACAGAUGAAGUUAGUGAGGAUAAAGUAGUAUAAUCUACAGUAGUUUCCCUGACUCUGAUCCAAUGAUUGGAUCCAUUAGAAUUACCUGGGGAGUUUUAAAAAAUACAGACUUCAGAGUCCUGUUCUGGAAGAUUCUGAUUGCGUUUCUUUGGGAUUUGACAUUUGUGAAUGGUUUGAUCUGUUAACCAAGGUUGACAUCUGGGUGUACAAAAAAUGGGAAUUAAAAAAAAAAUCAGGCAUUAAUGAGUUAACCAGUGUUUAUAGCUUUUUCAGCUGCUUUUGAAAAGACCUUCCUUGGCUCUUUUUUUAAUGGGAUGGCCAUAGCAGCUCAGAAUGGGAGAGCAGUAAUACCUCAUUUGGAAUGUGUCCUAGACUGUGUAAUUAGGCUUUAGACUAGAUCUUGCUUGCAGACAUGGCCAAGAUUCCAAAGAUCUUGGUGCUCAGAUGUGAAAGGGGCUUUUCCGUUUGGCUAGAGGAAGCUAAAGCACCAGUGGCCACAUGGCUUCUCAACAGAAGCUCUGAAGAACAGAUAGACACUGUCUUCAAAAAACUGGCAUCAAUUUUGCCCAGCUUCACUGGGAUGAGCAGACUAGAGUUCACUUUCUGGAGAAUAUAAAAGAAAGGAAGAAUCCAUUCUAGUUAGUAUAGCAAAGUGAAGUGUUCAGGCAAGCCAUUUCAGAAAUGCAUUAGCUCAAAAAAAUUUACAAUAUGCUUUUGAAAAAGGAAAGAAGGGAUAGACUGGGGAAUUUGAUCUCAUACAUUAUCAAAGUGUACUAUUAAACUAUAGUAAUAAAAUAGUCUGGUAUUGGUAUAGAAACAGACCAAUAGACGAAUUAAAAGGCAUAGCAUCCAGAAAUAGACCCAAAGUAUAGGAAAAUUGAGUUAUAAAGUGAAUUUUAAAGGAUUGGGAAGAAGAUGGAUUUUUCAAUAAAUGCUAUUGAAACAACUAGCUAGCCAUAGGGAAACACAUAAAAUUUGCCCCCUACCCUGUACUUACAUUAAAACAUAAACCAUAGGAAAAGAGAAUUUAAGUGCAUGUAGUCAAACCUAUAAAAACACUAGAAAAAAAUAUGAGUAGAAGUUCUAUAAUCUUAAAAGGCCCAUCUAAGCAUAACACAAAAUCCAGAGGCCAUGAAAAUAAAGGUGGAUUUCAUACAUGCACACACACACACUCUCCAUAUAAACGAAAUAAAGGAACAACUAGCAUGCAGGCCCCACACCACAUUAUUAAUGCACCAUAUACACAUUCCAGUUAAUAAGUCAGCAGCUGGCGUGGUGAGAUGUAAGCAGUGAUGUCAUUUAACCUGUCAUUGAUAGAAUUACUCCUUAUAAAGAGCUACUCCUUGUAACAUUGUCUUACUUCAUUGGCCCUCUCUUUCUCGUUUGGUAUUUUAAAAAUAAAAGUUUAUAAUCACCAAGCACGAUCUCCAGCAUCAAAGGUUGUUUAGAUCCUCUGCAGUGAGCUCUGGGUCCUUUGCUCCACUCAUAUAAAAGCUACAGACUCAGAAUUUACCUAAGGAAAACUCUCAUCCUGCAUACAGAUGUGUGUGCAUUGUAAGAAUGACUGCUACUCAAAUCUCUCCUUUCUCUUUGGAAGAACAAGAACAUCUAUUGCUUUUUUUUUAGAUUAUGAAACCAAUUUACAUUUGUGAUCAAAAAUUUGGAAAGCACACACAUAAAGAAGAAAAUAAAAAUAAUCUAUAAUUCCAUUAAGCGGAUAUAACCCACAUUAAAAUAUCAAUGUAUUUUUUCUGUAACUAUAUCCUAUUUUGACCUAAUUUUUUUCUUUUUCAGAGACAGAGUCUUGCUAUGCUGCCCAGGCUGGACUCGAACUUCUAGACUCGAGCAAUUCUCAUGCCUCAGCCUCCCAAGUGGCUGAGACUAUAGGCAUGCCACCACACCCAGCUCUUUUGAUGUAAUUUUUAUCCCAUCAAAGUUUUGUCAUCUUGCUUUUAAAAAAUUAUCACAUGCAUUCUCUCUUGUUAUUGAGCCUCCUUCUACAACUGGCUGUCUAAUGGCUGCAGCAUUUUUAUUGUAUGGAGAAACUAUACCUCAUGCAAAACUCUCUCAUUGAAAGCGUUCACAUAGUUCCUAAUGUUUCUUUAUUAUACAGAUGGCCCUGGGCUCACAGUGGUUUGAGUUACGAUUUUUCUAGUUUAUGAUUGGCAUAUUGGGAUAUUAAAUGUAUUUUCAACUUUCAAUAUUUUUGACUUGCCAUGGGUUUUUCGGGACAUAACCCCAUCGUAAGUUGAGGCUCAUCUGUAAACAGUUUUGAAAAGAACAUCCUUUGGGAUUUUUAAACCUCAGGGCCCUCUGGAAGCUGUAGGCUAAUGGGACUGGCCCACAGCUUUCCUACUCUACUUCAUUACCACACUGGGUUUCAAAGAAUCAGCUGGUAUAGACAGGAAAUACAACUUACAUAUUUUUUUCUUAUAAGGUUUCAAUGUUAUCUCCUCCUGCUGCUGCUUCUCUCUCUGCCAUAAAACUUAUUUUAAAGACAUGGAAAAUUAUAUGCACUUGAGUUAAAUACAAAACCACAAGUGACUAUAGCUUGAUAAGUGGUCUUUGGGAAAUUUAUGAGCCAAAAUCUGUGUCAUAAAUUGAUAGCACUCCAGCUAACAAAAGAUUGACAAUAAAACUUACUGUAAAUAAAACCAUCUAAAUCUUGAGUAUGAAUAAA
rnacentral:lncRNA from 1 species